CCUGCUCAGUAUUUCCAUAUUUUCUGCUUUUAUUUGAGAAACCUCAGCAAUCUCUCCCAAUAAAUGAAGUGCAAGAAACUACAUUGCAUGUUUGAAACUGCUGAAUUUGACAGCCGAUGCUCCAAUUUCAAUAGCCAUGGGCAGAGUGAAUAAAAAAGCACAACAAUUUGUACCUAUGAUCUGUCAAAUGAAUCUAUACAAAAUAUAUCUGCACACGUUUACUAGAAAAGUUUCUACUACCCACGGCGCCCAAUGCAGGAUGCGCAGUUCCUUGUGCAAGUACAAUGAAAGAAUCAGAAACAAGCUGAUGCACUCACUGGAUCUCCUCCAGAGGCAAAAGACACCGACUGCAUGUGGUGCUUGGCGAUCAACUGAAAAACAAA